UAGAUGCUGAUGGAAAUGGUGC
rnacentral:misc_RNA from 1 species